AUCCAGACAUCAAAGGAGAUCCCAAGGAUGCAUUUCUUUCUGCCCAAACUCACAAGAUACAAGGAGAGAAGAAAACUUUCAUACAUGGACAGAUUCUGCACCAACUUAGUCCAACGGUUAGUUUUUCACUUAUUAUUUAUUUCCAAGUUAUUCUUUUAGGCAUUUGUGUUCUUUUCUAUUUAAACUGAGCUAAGUCUUAUUUGUAAAUCACCCUUGCACGAAAUUAAUAAAGUAUUUUUCAGUUUACAAAGUUUGUCUUUGUUUUGUUCAAUUAGUCUUUAGGUGGAUUCUGUUAGAUUCGGGUUAAUUAUGAGUUUCCAACUUAAAACCAAUUGACAAUUAGUGGAUUGCCCCUAACCAUUUAUAUAUUACAUGUCUUUUAGAAUUCCCGAUGUGGGAUAUUUAUCUCUAAUACCCCUCCUCGAGACGAUGACUCUUAUCGGUCAGAAAUCUCGGAACUUUAAGACAGUUAUACUCGGUCGAGCGAGUCAAUUACGACAUUUAUACCCGGUCGGAUAGAGUUAUAUUAAUUAGGGAUUUAGGGUAUUUAGGACCUGGUUAUGAUACCAUGUUAGAUUUCUUGUUCGUUUGCUUGUCUCCUUAGUUUGUGGAUUCAUUCUAGGAUACAAGUGUAGGUAUCUGUCUUUAUGUGGAUUCACAUAGGCGCAGGCAUCUGGUCUUAUCAAAGGGAUACUUCCACAACCCUUUGUGGCGACAAUCGACCCAUUCAAGCUUGACAACUCAUGUUGCCUUGUGAUCUAGCCUUUGUUAGCUUAGGAUUACAUCAUUUUUUUAUCAGGAUUAUAUAUAUGACUGCAUCAUCAUAUAUAUAAAGUACAAUUUCCUUCUCUUCCAGGGGGUCCACGUCGCCAUCCACGUCAUCAGUUCGGAUGCUGUCGAGCCGACACCAGUCCCGCACUACAAAACGCAGCGCAUCAUUAAGUUAGCCACGUCGGGCUUUUUCGUUUUUGGCCUGUUGAACAAAUGUGGGCUUUGUUACGUCCUCCAUUUAAGGCCCUGGGAAUAGGACAACAUACGACGCGAACCCUAGCUGUGUCCUUCGUUACUCUGAGUACGGGCUUCUGUGUGGUGCAGACGGGCACCACACCUGAAAGUGAACGGGGACCAGAGGCAUUGGGGAGAGUUUAUAACACAAGGACUUUUGUUCAUGUGCAUCGCGGGAUGGAUCAGGUGGGUGGGGAGAAGCUAGAAGUGGGAACAGCGCAGAGGAUAAGGAUACGCCGGUAGCACGGGUAGAAGAUUCCGCGGCGGAGAUAGAGCUUACGGGCUUUUGACUAACAUUUUGGAGAAGAAACCAUUUCUGAUAGCAUGGCAACAAUGAUGACAAAGAUAUAAAGACUAAGUACUGUGUCUGGGACAGUUUCAACACAAGAUGAAACGCAUCACUAUACUAGGAGAUCGUUGGCUACCCUGAUUUUCCAGUCACAGAAGGGAACUCCGAACCCUUGAGAUGGGAUUCUCGGUGUAGCUGAUUUUGUUCACGGUAAAAAAUGGGCUAGGAGAUGAGAUUCUUUUGAGAGGGUCUCUGACUAUCCGUGUGAAGUCACCAUUCUGGCCUUCGGACCUCUGAUCAGUCUUGCAAUACUUAGCCCAUCAAGCAUGAAAGUUCAUUAGCGAGUAAGGUGAAGAUGAUUGUUAUACUUGGUGGAGCUUUCUUUGCAUUAGGGAAUAUCAAUCCCCCAGCUGAAGCAAACAUACAACACCCUCUGAACCUCUUAUUUAAUCUUCUAUCAAUGAAAGAAUGCAGGUUUCAUGUUUUGUGGGUUUUCCCCUUUCUAUGCAGAUGUAUAGUCACAUGGAAGCAGCUGAUGUUUGGGUUCAUGUCUGGAGUUAAUAUCACUGACAUCACUACCCAACUUAAACAAACAGUCUCUUCUACUGUUCAAGAUGAUGACCUCUUAGCCCUGCGUGACUCCAAAGGAAACACGCAAGGUUGUUAAGUGACAUGUGCAAAUUUUACAGAGCUUGGCACGUCAAAUCUGAUGGAGUGUUACCUCCAUAACCCUGUGUGCUUUCUGGAAGCAGUACAGCCUGAUCUAUUCAAAUAUAAGAAAUGGGUUGUUUGGGUGGGACUCAGGGAAUAUGCGUCGGCCAUAGGCUCAUGGAUCAAGCCCUCAAGAAGUCUUAUUAUAUAGAUUUUAAGCUUCAGAGAAAAAGAAAGAAUUGUAGAUGGAACGGAAGCAAUGUAUGAGUGAUAUUUUCACCAGUGUUUGUGGCGUGGACAAUAGAUGUAGACACAUUUGGAAUGUGUCUGAUGAAGCUUAAUUUGAAUCUUAAUUCAAGAUCUGUAUUAGAACUGUAUAAAUGCAAAACUUAGCUAAAAAAUAAUGAAAACUAUUUAUCUUCUCUUUU